GACGAACGCUGGCGGCGUGCUUAACACAUGCAAGUCGAACGGAAAGGCCCUGCUUUUGUGGGGUGCUCGAGUGGCGAACGGGUGAGUAACACGUGAGUAACCUGCCCUUGACUUUGGGAUAACUUCAGGAAACUGGGGCUAAUACCAGAUAGGAGCUCCUGCUGCAUGGUGGGGGUUGGAAAGUUUCGGCGGUUGGGGAUGGACUCGCGGCUUAUCAGCUUGUUGGUGGGGUAGUGGCUUACCAAGGCUUUGACGGGUAGCCGGCCUGAGAGGGUGACCGGCCACAUUGGGACUGAGAUACGGCCCAGACUCCUACGGGAGGCAGCAGUGGGGAAUAUUGCGCAAUGGGCGGAAGCCUGAUGCAGCAACGCCGCGUGCGGGAUGACGGCCUUCGGGUUGUAAACCGCUUUCGCCUGUGACGAAGCGUGAGUGACGGUAAUGGGUAAAGAAGCACCGGCUAACUACGUG
rnacentral:rRNA from 1 species